AUGCUUGCUUUGGCAGCACAUAUACUAAAAUUGGAACAAUACAGAGAAGAUUAACAUGGCCCCAAGCAAUAGAAAUACAAUGACAUCUGACAUAUUAUU
rnacentral:snRNA from 1 species